ensembl:lncRNA
CUUUGCCGCGAGAUAUGACAGCGAUAUAAACCCCUCAGACUUCAUUCAAAAAUGUGGGUGUUUGAUGGAGAGUUGCGGUUAGAGAGAGUUUGGAGACCGUUUGGAGGUUUAUGAGAGUGAGGAGAGAAAGUCAGGAGAGAAUGGAGCCAGCUAAGAAGAGGAGGAUGUCCUCCCCUGUGUGGGAACAUUUUGAUCUUAUUCCUCCCAACAAGGUGAAGUGUUUGCUAUGUGCCAGGGAGCUGGGAUAUAACAACAACACCUCAUCCAUGCUUAGGCACUACAGAGCUUUGCAUGAGAAUAAGGGGGACACCGAUUGUGGAGCAAGACCAGGAGAACAAUCUCAAAUAGAUGAAGACCUGGUUAGCAUGGUGACUGAGGACUCCCAGCCAUUUAGCAUUGUGGAGGACAAAGGAUUCAAAAGAUUUGUUAAAUCAUUAAAUCCUAGCUAUGUUCUCCCCACUAAAAAGGUCAUAAAAGCAGUGAAAAUUUAGUUUUUACAGAAUAAAAUGUGAACAGGCAGGAGUGUGUAGCUGUCCAUACCUCAACGUUACAAAAGCACAACUACUGUCCACACCCCAAC